UACAGAGGGUGCGAGCGUUAAUCGGAAUUACUGGGCGUAAAGCGUGCGUAGACGGUAGCGUAAGUCAGAUGUGAAAGCCCCGGGCUCAACCUGGGAACUGCAUUUGAGACUGGAGGACUUGAGGACGGGAGAGGUGAGUGGAACUCCGAGUGUAGAGGUGAAAUUCGUAGAUAUUCGGAAGAACACCAGUGGCGAAGGCGGCUCACUGGCCCGGUACUGACGCUGAUGUGCGAAAGCGUGGGGAGCAAACAGG
rnacentral:rRNA from 1 species